AUGGACUCUUAAGGCUAUUUAGUAUUUAAAUUGGAAAGGCUCUAGUUAUAACUUUUUUAUAUGCCCAUAGACUUGUAUAUGUAUCUCCUGAGAUGCAGAUUAAAUUUUGAGAAAAUGUUUUGAGCAAUAAUUUAAUUUAAAGCAGUGGUACUCUUAUUGUUAAACUGCAGGGCUGAGUGAGAAUUUUUGUUGUGUCACCAUAGAUACCAACAUCUAAUUUGAUUACUCUUGUGAAUAGUUGCUAACUAUAAUCUGAUAGUGACUGUUACUUUUCAUCAGCGGGAAGGAGCCUGUUAAUUGAGCUGGAGGGAAGCCAGAGAAAUCUUUCAGAGGAGUAGUUUUACAUACAGUGGUUUUAAUAAGUGAUCCAAUGAAACCUUUUAUAAAAGCAACAAAGACAAGAAGGGUCUGGACUCAGUAAGUAUGAUCCACACAGCUACAAAUGAGCCCCAGACAAUGCUGGAUCAUGUCGGUCACUCAAACCCAUCCCAGCAAGGUCAAAUAAGAAUAGCUUAAUUUAUUCAGCCGCCUUGAGCAUCCUUAUUUGCUCAACAACUCUUAAAGAAAACCCUGUCUGUCACUGGGGUUCAGUAAAUGGGCAAGGUGCCUCUUAUGCUAUCAAAUUAUGCAAGACUGUCAUCCUGCAAGGAAGAUGUUUGCAUGUUGGCUUCACAAACACAAUUAAUGUUCUAUUAGAUAGAUUCCUUUGCUAGUAAGAGGACUUUCUGUAAGAGAUAAUGGUAUAUUUCCUUGUAACCCCCUAGGAGUGUAGAUGGAUACUUCCAAACACAGUUUUUAUUUCCUUAAGGAAAUUGAAGCAUGGGGCAAAUUCUUAAGCUAAAAAAUUAUAUUUUAUGUUGUAUACUUGGUUAGCCUAACAAUUUGCCUCUACUGGCUGUGGGUGCAGCAUUUUAUUUCUUACCUACUACAUACUUCUAAGCACUAAUAUUGGUCCUAUAAUCCUGCCUUUAUAAUAGAUCCUAUGAUUCUUGUCAUGUUGGUCAAGUGACACGAUUUCAGAGAAUUUAAGCCAAGUGUGCACUUUAAUAUCAGACCACAGCAUAUGGAUGUGGCCUUGAAAUUUUGUGACUGAACUGCCUCCCACCAAAGCCCGAUCUUUAGAUGAGGAGGUAGAAGUGCUAUUUUAAUGGCAACAGGGUUUACACAAUUUGGAUUGUUAAGCUUAAAGACCUCAUUUACUUCUAAUGUUGAAUGGGAGGCAGAUGUUGCAUGGAAAUCCUUUGGCAUGUGUUGGAUGUGUGGCAAGUAGUAGUUAUCAUUGGGGUAUUUUUCUAUGUGCUUGUCAUGGUUUCACCUAGUUCUGUGCUGCUCAAACCUAUUGUACUUAUGGAUUUCUUCAAGAAAUCUUAUGUAGAUUCUCCAUUUCCCAAGAAGGUGAGAAUUUAUAUUGUAAAUUGUCCCUGAGCAACGCUGGUAGGUUCUGCUAAUAGUCUGAGAUUUUUGGUAUACUUAGUCUCACUAAAGCCUUAGGCUUUUCAUAGAAGUAAAAGGAUGUUGGAGAGAUUGCAUGCUCAAGUCAAGGAAAUACAUCUCAGGAAACAUAAAUUUCACUGGGAAAAGUUGCUUUCAAGUAUAAAUGGGUCAUCCUGAAAAGCCUUUGAUUGGAAAAUUCAGUGACAAACUGACAAACUGUCUCAGCCCCACAAUGAGUCCCUCAUUAGAGCCCUUUAGGCAAAUGGGGCUGGUGGUUUGUGGAAUUGCAGGAGGUGUUACUUUCUGGGUACUUAACCUGAACGACCACACCUUAUGCUAGUCUAGCUAGUUCUUCCUGUAGGUUCUGUGUAGAGGCUGGCAUGUACCUUUGACAUCACCAGCUCCUAGCUUCCAUAGGUAGGCACUGAAUCCCAGAUUAAAUGAGCUGUUCAAUUUUUAGGCACUCUUAGCUAUACACUUGCCCCACGUGUCCACAGCUCUGAAGUCAGGAUUGUCUUCUCACUGGGGACUUUGGACCACUGUGUCACUGUGUGAUAAGUAGUAUUUUGUCUCUCUUCGUGGUAUAAGUGGCACUACUGAAACAUCUUGAAAUGGACAGGCUUUCAGAUGUAAUGAGAUAUUGCAGUGGAGAGUCAAGUUUCCUGGAUCAUUAUAUAGCGCUCCUCCACUGCAUACGCCAUGAUGCAGUUACCCUGAUGCUCUUGAAGACAUUUGGGUAUCACGGUCAACUCUAGUAGCUGAGUAUCUUCUAUUAUCUUCAGCAUAUGAUCCUAUAGCUGUGUGAGACUCUGUCGGUGAAUCCAUUUAUAUAAAACAUUCAGAAAGCUGCUGGCAUAUAGUAACUCCUCAACAAGUACAGUGUUACUAUCAUUGAUGAUCUUACUAAGUCAGCCCAGACCCUCGACAGUGUCUACACAGUAAUGUGAACAGAACAGGUAUUUAUUUCUGUGUACAUGCUGUAAAACUCUCCCCAUACAGAAAGUCUUUUAAAGCCCUGAAUAAGACUUAGGUUUUUCAAUGUGCUUCAAUACUAACUGUGACACCAAGGGAAUCUAUAGCACUUCUAUCUAUAAAGGGUAGUGAAAGCAUAAAUUGACAAAGAUUUGUCUUGACUGAUAUAGACAUUGGCCUGUCUGCAAACUUGUAUUUCACCUGUCCAGUGAAAACCAAGACAGUGGCGAGAUUGUCUGUUAGGUGAGGACCAUUAUUCUAUUUGCCCUACUCCCACAGUGCUAGGAAGCCCUGACGAGAUUGUGUUUGUUUUGAGACCUGAUCAAAUGAGACAUAGUUUACCAUGCUGCCUCCUUCGUUCUGCAUCAAGUCCUGGAGUUAUUACUCAUAUUGGUUCCAUUGCGUGAUUGCCUAAUUCAGUCGUUGUCAGUGUAAUGGAUAUGGACACUUUCUUUCAUUCUGUGUAUUUAGCCUUAAGCUUCUCCCUAUGUUUUCCUUCUCUGCUUAUGAUCAUUGUAUUGAAUGAGAGGAGCUGGGAAUCCUUUAUCGGGAUGAGAAACGCGUCUCCCCCUAGACCCCCAACGCACACAUGUGGUCUUGUACCCAUUGCCAUGGGCUGCACUGCCUUACCUUACUGGUUUGCUUUUUCUCCCUGUUGUUAUGAGGAUCCUAGGAGAAAGACCUUAGCGUAUUUAUUU
rnacentral:lncRNA from 1 species